AGACAGCAGCAGCCGCGGUAAUACGUAGGUCCCGAGCGUUGUCCGGAUUUAUUGGGCGUAAAGCGAGCGCAGGCGGUUAGAUAAGUCUGAAGUUAAAGGCUGUGGCUUAACCAUAGUAUGCUUUGGAAACUGUUUAACUUGAGUGCAGAAGGGGAGAGUGGAAUUCCAUGUGUAGCGGUGAAAUGCGUAGAUAUAUGGAGGAACACCGGUGGCGAAAGCGGCUCUCUGGUCUGUAACUGACGCUGAGGCUCGAAAGCGUGGGGAGCAAACAGGAUUAGAUACCCCCGUAGUCCCUGUCUCUUAUACA
rnacentral:rRNA from 1 species